GAUGAACGCUGGCGGCGUGCCUAAUACAUGCAAGUCGAGCGAACAGACGAGGAGCUUGCUCCUCUGACGUUAGCGGCGGACGGGUGAGUAACACGUGGAUAACCUACCUAUAAGACUGGGAUAACUUCGGGAAACCGGAGCUAAUACCGGAUAAUAUAUUGAACCGCAUGGUUCAAUAGUGAAAGACGGCUUUGCUGUCACUUAUAGAUGGAUCCGCGCCGCCUUAGCUAGUUGGUAAGGUAACGGCUUACCAAGGCGACGAUGCGUAGCCGACCUGAGAGGGUGAUCGGCCACACUGGAACUGAGACACGGUCCAGACUCCUACGGGAGGCAGCAGUAGGGAAUCUUCCGCAAUGGGCGAAAGCUUGACGGAGCAACGCCGCGUGAGUGAUGAAGGUCUUCGGAUCGUAAAACUCUGUUAUUAGGGAAGAACAAAUGUGUAAGUAACUAUGCACGUCUUGACGGUACCUAAUCAGAAAGCCACGGCUAACUACGU
rnacentral:rRNA from 1 species